GUCUACAGCCAUGCCGCCCUGAACAAGCCUGAUGUCGUCUGACCUCGGAAGCUACGCAGGGUCGGGCCUGGUUGGUAUUUGGAUGGGAGACCACCUAGGAAGACCAGGUGCUGUAGGCA
rnacentral:rRNA from 1 species